rnacentral:rRNA from 1 species
UACGAAGGGGGCUAGCGUUGCUCGGAAUCACUGGGCGUAAAGGGUGCGUAGGCGGGUCUUUAAGUCAGGGGUGAAAUCCUGGAGCUCAACUCCAGAACUGCCUUUGAUACUGAGGAUCUUGAGUUCGGGGAGAGGUGAGUGGAACUGCGAGUGUAGAGGUGAAAUUCGUAGAUAUUCGCAAGAACACCAGUGGCGAAGGCGGCUCACUGGCCCGAUACUGACGCUGAGGCACGAAAGCGUGGGGAGCAAACAGG